AUUGAACGCUGGCGGCAGGCUUAACACAUGCAAGUCGAGCGGGGGGAGGUAGCUUGCUACCUAACCUAGCGGCGGACGGGUGAGUAAUGCUUAGGAAUCUGCCUAUUAGUGGGGGACAACAUUUCGAAAGGGAUGCUAAUACCGCAUACGCGCUAAGGGGGAAAGAAGGGGAGCGUCGGACCGCGAGCUAAUAGAUGAGCGUAAGUCGGAUUAGCUAGUGGGUGGGGUAAAGGCCUACCAAGGCGACGAUCUGUAGCGGGUCGGAGAGGAUGAUCCGCCACACUGGGACUGAGACACGGCCCAGACUCCUACGGGAGGCAGCAGUGGGGAAUAUUGGACAAUGGGGGGAACCCUGAUCCAGCCAUGCCGCGUGUGUGAAGAAGGCCUUUUGGUUGUAAAGCACUUUAAGCGAGGAGGAGGCUACCGAGAUUAAUACUCUUGGAUAGUGGACGUUACUCGCAGAAUAAGCACCGGCUAACUCUGUGCCAGCCGCCGCAGUAACAC
rnacentral:rRNA from 1 species